CCGAGAAAACCUUUGUAUCCACCUCUUCCACCACGACCAGGAAGCCACAGCAAUUCUGGAGGUUUUAAUGACUUAGAUCUCCUUGAUGGGAAGCCUUUACCACCACAACUAUCAGGAGAAGAUGAGCAUCAUUUUAAUCAUGGAGGAAAUACUGAUUCAGGAUUAAUAGCUGGAGUUACAUCUCCUAUAAUUUCUGCUUUUGUAAUAUUAGUUGUUGGAUCAAUAGCAG